AUUAGCCAUGCAUGUCUCAGUGCAAGCCAAAGUAAGGUGAAACCGCGAAUGGCUCAUUAAAUCAGUUAUGGUUCCUUAGAUCGUACCAAGUUACUUGGAUAACUGUGGUAAUUCUAGAGCUAAUACAUGCAAACAGAGUCCCGACCAGAAAUGGAAGGGACGCUUUUAUUAGAUCAAAACCAAUCGGUCGGCUCGUCCGGUCCGUUUGCCUUGGUGACUCUGAAUAACUUUGGGCUGAUCGCACGGUCCUGGUACCGGCGACGCAUCUUUCAAAUGUCUGCCUUAUCAACUGUCGAUGGUAGGUUCUGCGCCUACCAUGGUUGUAACGGGUAACGGGGAAUCAGGGUUCGAUUCCGGAGAGGGAGCCUGAGAAACGGCUACCACAUCCAAGGAAGGCAGCAGGCGCGCAAAUUACCCACUCCCGGCACGGGGAGGUAGUGACGAAAAAUAACGAUACGGGACUCAUCCGAGGCCCCGUAAUCGGAAUGAAUACACUUUAAAUCCUUUAAUGAGUAUCCAUUGGAGGGCAAGUCUGGUGCCAGCAGCCGCGGUAAUUCCAGCUCCAAUAGCGUAUAUUAAAGUUGUUGCGGUUAAAAAGCUCGUAGUUGGAUUUGUGUCCCACGCUGUCGGUUCAUCGCUCGUCGGUGUCUAACUGGCAUGAUUUGUGGGACGUCCUGCCGGUGGUGGCGAGUCGAAGGCGUGCACCCGUUGUGGUUUCCACUUCGGUUCUUGCGCGCCGGAGGCGGACCCCGAUGAAAUCCUACCGCGGUGCUCUUCGCCGAGUGUCGAGGUGGGCCGGCACGUUUACUUUGAACAAAUUAGAGUGCUUAAAGCAGGCCUGUUGCGCCUGAAUACUGUGUGCAUGGAAUAAUGGAAUAGGACCUCGGUUCUAUUUUGUUGGUUUUCGGAACCCGAGGUAAUGAUUAAUAGGGACAGGCGGGGGCAUUCGUAUUGCGACGUUAGAGGUGAAAUUCUUGGAUCGUCGCAGACGGACCGAAGCGAAAGCAUUUGCCAAGUAUGUUUUCAUUAAUUCAAGAACGAAAGUUAGAGGU
rnacentral:rRNA from 1 species